rnacentral:lncRNA from 1 species
UUCCUAGUGCUACCAGAUUUCUUUCACCUGGAAACACUGAGAAGUCCAUUUCAUAUUUUCAGGCACUAAGUAAGUGGGAGUCCACAAGCCACAGGAGCUGUGACGAGCUAAAGCCCCUACAUGUCUCUGAACUGCUCAGGAGAAAGGUGCAGUAUCUGUGCCAUGCAUGAAAUGUGGUAACAUCUAGCUUUGAAUUCUGCUCAACUGUUGGCCAGACAGCUGAUGAGACUUAUCCAAUUUCUAGAGCACUUCAUCUGCUCUGUGAAAUGGAAAAUAGCUGUAUUUAUGUAAAUAAUAAAUGAAAUGCCAGGAGGUGGC